UUAGAGAGAAGGCGGCGAGAGUCUCCUAAGCUCCUGAAGCGGAGCUCGCUAUUCACUAACGCGGUUUGCGCCGGCGCCGUGACGUCAACGCCAUAGGGCGCCCGUGGGCUUUACGCCGCUAGCGCAAAGGCGUUGCUCUUUGCCUGCUGGGGAGGAGAGGGACAGAAAGAGGCUUAAAGAGACAACAGCGAGCCAUGGAGGGGCUGGGGGGGGAGAGGCCUUUGGGCCCCCACCCUUGAAGAGCCGGGGGCGGGGGAAGAAGCUCAGGUCUUUCUAGAUCUGAAAUUGAAAGUGUGUGAAUUCGUUUGCCAAAGGAACAACAGACCAGGAAGUACAUAAGCUUCCCCCCCACCCCCGCUUUCUUUGCAAAGAAUGUUAAAGCUUAGAAACGAAGACUUGCCACGAAAAGUUUGCUUCUGCGCCAUGUCGUCUUCACCAGCGAGCAUCCGACGGGAGAUGCUGAUUGGAGUCCUCGUGGACCUGGCAAGAGGACAGCCGUUCCACUAGCCCAGCACAUGUGGGUGGAGACUUAUCCCCUCGCACCCUCCCCUCCUCCAUCUCCAGCAUCCGCGAUGGUUUAUUAACCAAGAAGAACCCUGCUUUUGUAAUUCCUCUUCCGUCUUUUCUCC